GAUAACAGCAGUUUUGAGCCUUCAACUAACAAUCAUUUAAUUCAAAGACAUGAAACACUAUUCCCAUUCUUCAUCUUCCAAGGGAGAUAGAUACACUUAAUAGACUGAACAGUCUUAGCAGCUUCAUGGUUGACACUCUUCAAUAAACCUUCUUCUUUACCCUCACCCGGUGUCAGGGACACAGGAGGCUCCAGUUGAGUGCAAUAAAUGGAGAGGCCCUCCGCAGAACAUCCUA